rnacentral:rRNA from 1 species
GACGAACGCUGGCGGCGUGCUUAACACAUGCAAGUCGAACGGAAAGGCCCUGCUUUUGUGGGGUGCUCGAGUGGCGAACGGGUGCGUAACACGUGAGUAACCUGCCCUUGACUUUGGGAUAACUUCAGGAAACUGGGGCUAAUACCGGAUAGGAGCUCCUGCUGCAUGGUGGGGGUUGGAAAGUUUCGGCGGUUGGGGAUGGACUCGCGGCUUAUCAGCUUGUUGGUGGGGUAGUGGCUUACCAAGGCGUUGACGGGUAGCCGGCCUGAGAGGGUGACCGGCCACAUUGGUACUGAGAUACGGCCCAGACUCCUACGGGAGGCAGCAGUGGGGAAUAUUGCACAAUGGGCGGAAGCCUGAUGCAGCAACGCCGCGGGCGGGAUGACGGCCUUCGGGUUGUAAACCGCUUUCGCCUGUGACGAAGCGUGAGUGACGGUAAUGGGUAAAGAAGCACCGGCUAACUACGUG